rnacentral:siRNA from 1 species
UACAUGUUCCUAUUAGAUAAGGGU